rnacentral:tRNA from 1 species
GCGGGGGUGGCAGAGUCUGGUCAAAUGCGCAAGGUUGAGGGCCUUGUCCCUUAUUGGGUGCGAGGGUUCGAAUCCCUUCUCCCGCA